GACGAACGCUAGCGGCGCGCCUAACACAUGCAAGUCGAACGAACGGCGAGAAGCUUGCCUCUCAAAGUUAGUGGCGGACGGGUGAGUAACGCGUGAGUAACCUGCCUAUCAGAGGGGGAUAACGUCUGGAAACGGACGCUAAUACCGCAUGAUACCACAGUAUCGCAUGAUACACUGGUCAAAGGAGAAAUCCGCUGAUAGAUGGACUCGCGUCUGAUUAGAUAGUUGGUGAGGUAACGGCUCACCAAGUCGACGAUCAGUAGCCGGACUGAGAGGUUGAACGGCCACAUUGGGACUGAGACACGGCCCAG
rnacentral:rRNA from 1 species